GUCCACGCCCUAAACGAUGAUGACUAGUUGUUGGAGGAGUUAAAUCCUUUAGUAACGCAGCUAACGCGAGAAGUAAUCCGCCUGGGGAGUACGGUCGCAAGAUUAAAACUCAAAGGAAUUGACGGGGGCCCGCACAAGCGGUGGAUGAUGUGGUUUAAUUCGACGCAACGCGAAAAACCUUACCUACCCUUGACAUGUACGGAACUUCACAGAGAUGUGGAGGUGCCAGAAAGGGAGCCGUAACACAGGUGCUGCAUGGCUGUCGU
rnacentral:rRNA from 1 species